rnacentral:rRNA from 1 species
GAUGAACGCUGGCGGCGUGCCUAAUACAUGCAAGUCGAGCGAACAGACGAGGAGCUUGCUCCUCUGACGUUAGCGGCGGACGGGUGAGUAACACGUGGAUAACCUACCUAUAAGACUGGGAUAACUUCGGGAAACCGGAGCUAAUACCGGAUAAUAUAUUGAACCGCAUGGUUCAAUAGUGAAAGAGGGUUUUGCUGUCACUUAUAGAUGGAUCCGCGCCGCAUUAGCUAGUUGGUAAGGUAACGGCUUACCAAGGCGACGAUGCGUAGCCGACCUGAGAGGGUGAUCGGCCACACUGGAACUGAGACACGGUCCAGACUCCUACGGGAGGCAGCAGUAGGGAAUCUUCCGCAAUGGGCGAAAGCUUGACGGAACAACGCCGCGUGAGUGAUGAAGGUCUUCGGAUCGUAAAACUCUGUUAUUAGGGAAGAACAAAUGUGUAAGUAACUAUGCACGUCUUGACGGUACCUAAUCAGAAAGCCACGGCUAACUACGUG